rnacentral:rRNA from 1 species
ACAACUUUCAGCAACGGAUCUCUUGGCUCUCGCAUCGAUGAAGAACGCAGCGAAAUGCGAUAAGUAAUGUGAAUUGCAGAAUUCAGUGAAUCAUCGAAUCUUUGAACGCACCUUGCGCUCCUUGGUAUUCCGAGGAGCACACCUGUUUGAGUGUCAUGUAAUUCU